UUAAAAGCAGCUUGUGCUGUGUUGAGGAACCUGAAUGUGUGCUUCACCAUCAGUGGGCAGGACAAGUAGGGCCUUUAAAAGGGAAAAAGCAGCAAACUGAGAUUAGUUAGACUCAACAUGCAGCCAUGGCUGAGGUAGCUAAUGCACUUGAUACUCUAUGUAAUACUCUAUACUCUAUGCUACAUUUGCUUUAAAACUAAUGCUAUUAUCAUUUGUUAUGAUAAAGCUAAUGGGAACGAAAGUAAAGUUAACAGCAUGAAUAGUUUCUGUCCCUGGGAUGCAUGCGUGAUACUUCUCUGGUACAGCUUUCUUACCUCCCUUGAAAUUUAAACACAGUUUUUCUCUGAAACGUAAUCUUUUAAAACAGUUUUGUUAAUUUCACGAAAAUUUUGUAAGAGACGUUCCAUACCUGAGACACUUUGUCUGUUGGAAUCUGAGUCUCCAUUACUGGAAUUAGAAUUAUUGGAAGAGUUGUUGUCAACCCCUCCCAGAAGGGGGCGCAAGUGGCUUACGGAGACUUGUUCAAUGAAAGAUGUUCCAUACUUGCGAAAAUACCACCAUUCAAAUAUCUAGAACAGAAAGAUAAUGUGUGUUUAUGACC
ensembl:antisense Gm26738 predicted gene, 26738